CCUACGGGAGGCAGCAGUGGGGAAUUUUGGACAAUGGGCGAAAGCCUGAUCCAGCCAUUCCGCGUGAGUGAAGAAGGCCUUCGGGUUGUAAAGCUCUUUCGCAAGGGAAGAAAACUUAGAUACUAAUAUUAUCUGAGGUUGACGGUACCUUGAUAAGAAGCACCGGCUAACUACGUGCCAGCAGCCGCGGUAAUACGUAGGGUGCGAGCGUUAAUCGGAAUUACUGGGCGUAAAGCGUGCGCAGGCGGUUUUGUAAGUCAGAUGUGAAAUCCCCGAGCUCAACUUGGGAACUGCGUUUGAAACUACAAGACUAGAAUAUGUCAGAGGGGGGUAGAAUUCCACGUGUAGCAGUGAAAUGCGUAGAGAUGUGGAGGAAUACCAAUGGCGAAGGCAGCCCCCUGGGAUAAUAUUGACGCUCAUGCACGAAAGCGUGGGGAGCAAACAGGAUUAGAUACCCUGGUAGUCCACGCCCUAAACGAUGUCUACUAGUUGUUGGUGGAGUAAAAUCCAUGAGUAACGCAGCUAACGCGUGAAGUAGACCGCCUGGGGAGUACGGUCGCAAGAUUAAAACNCAAAGGAAUUGACGG
rnacentral:rRNA from 1 species